AUGUCCAAAUAUCAACUGCUACUCGAACCGUCUGCCACCGGCGAUGAGGAUGCUCCCACAGCAGGCGUAGACAACAAUAACAGAACAACAACAACAACAACACAUACAAGCCUUCAUAAUGCCGCCGAGAAUCUACAAGCGCUGCUCUACACCGACAGCAGCAACGAUUCCAGCAGCAGCAGCGGCGGCGGACGGGCGCGUGCAGUGCGCACCAGCAACAACAAUAACAACAAUAGAAGCGGCAGCAAUAGCAAUAGCAUGAAUAGUCACAGCAGCGGCAGCAGCAGCAGUUGGGAGUACAGUCCCUUCGACAGUGUCAACGCAAACAGCAACAACAACAACAACAGCAUUAAUCAGACAAAAGCGGCUGUGAUGUCAAGAGCAACAGCGACAACAACAACAACAACAGGAACAGUAGUGGCGUUGAGUUUAGCCGACAUGGAAGCGAAAACGUCGUCAACAUCACUAUUGUUGGACGCUUACGAGGCGGAUGACACUACGAUGGAGGUGCCACUGCUUGGCGGAAAUGAUAAUAGCGAUUACCAUGACCACGCACACCAGCAGUUCACCACCGCUUCCGCUGCCGCCAACAACGCUGCUGCCGCCGCCGCCACCUGCCAUUGCCAAUUACCCGGAUUUGGCGCAAAUCUGCAUACAAAAUCCACACAAGAUGCGAAAUUCAAAAUUUUAUUAGCAAUUACGCUGUGCUGCGUUUUCAUGAUUGUUGAAUUCCUUGGCGGCUAUAUGGCCGGAAGUUUGGCUAUCAUGACGGAUGCCGCCCACUUGGCGUCCGAUUGCAUUAGUUUUGUCAUCGGUUUAGUGGCAAUUUGGUUGGGCGGACGACCGCCCGAUGACCGUAUGUCCUUCGGCUAUAAACGGAUGGAGGUGAUGGGCGCCAUUGUAUCGAUAUUAGGUAUUUGGAUACUAACCGCAACACUAAUUAUUGUGGCUAUGGAACGUUUAUACUCCAAUGACUUCGAUUUGAAAGCCGACACUAUGAUGAUUAUAUCGGGCAUUGGCAUUUUGAUUAAUAUUGUCAUGGUUUUCAUACUCCACGGCUCAUCGCUAACGCAUGGAGCUGCUCAUGGUCACAGCCAUGCACACGCACAUGCGCACUCACAUUCGCACACCCAUUCAGCGGCGGCCGGCAAUGCCUUGGCGCAAGUUAAUGGUUCAAAUGGCGGUGGUGGCAAUGAAUUCAAAAAAUGUGACAGCGCCGAUAACCUAAAUUUGCGCGCCGCCAUGAUACACGUCAUCGGCGAUCUGGUGCAGAGCAUUGGCGUCUUUCUCGCAUCAAUUUUAAUACAAAUUUAUCCCAGCGCGAAGUUUGCCGAUCCGUUGUGCACGCUACUGUUCUCCGUUAUCGUUUUCAUGACCACUGUGCGUCUGCUUCGGGAAUCGGUUGGUAUUCUCCUGGAUGCUGUGCCGCCAUCGAUCUCACUGCGUAGCUUGGCGUUGGAUUUGGCCGACAUUGAAGGCGUUAAAUCUGUACACCAUUUGAAUGUCUGGAGUCACACGAAUAACCAUAGCGUCAUGAUGGUGCACUUAGUCAUUGAUUUUCUCUCGGACAGCAACACGGUGCUGCAGCGCGCCACACAAGUAGCCUGUGGCAGCAAAUACGACAUCAAACAUUGCACCAUACAAAUCGAACGUUCCACGAGCACAUAAAACCACUUGCACUUAGACAAAUAAGCCAGCAUAUGCUUGUGUGUAGCUAAGAAAGAAAAAAAACUGAACCGACGGAUUAAACGAUCACACGACGCCUUGCCAGACCAGACCGAUGAAUGUGUGAUGAAAGUGUGCAAUUUAAGCUUCACUGGAGAAUGCAGAGGGAGAAAGAGAUGGAAGAGAAGGUGAUAUAUACCACAUAUAUUUAUAUAUAUAUGUACAUAUGUAUGUGUUGGUGCUCACGUAUGUGCGCUUAAAGACGAUUGACAGGAGGACGCGGUCGGAGGCGGCUGUGCCACACUUGCGAUGCAUCCGAGCUGUAGUAAUUCUAUCACAGACAAUUGACGUUGUCAUUAAAUGCUCUACGCUAAUUGAUCGUUAAAUUUAUUACCUCUAUGAGAGGGCGCGCGGCAUGCCAGUGCGCGGAUAUAUGGCUGUUGCUCAUAUCGGUCUUCAUAUAUGGAAGAAUUUAUAUAUUUCACGCGUGUGCUUCAUAAAAUGGAUACAACACAUACACGUAUAUGCACAUGUACACACACAUAUACAAACAACACCAAUUCACAAUCAUUUAUUGCCAUUACUCACAAUUACUAAGCGUGAAAAACCAAAGUUCGCCGCUAUAAAAAAAAAUUCUAAAAAAAGCGUAAAAAAACUAAAGAGAAAAACGAAAAAACUAGAAAUAAUAAAAUAAAAUUCAAAAAAAUCCAAAAGGUGCGAAAAUAAAAUGUACCUAUCGUAAAUAUAUGAGGGUAUAUACAGAAAAUAAAUAGUCUGCUGUUUGCUUGUUUUAUCGCGCUCAAUGUGAUAAUGAAAAUCCUCGCGGUUAAACAGCAAUUACAGCGCCGCAAUAUUCAUAGGUAAACAAAAUUGCACAAAAAUGAGUAUUAGAAAAAAAUAUAUUUUAAAAUAAGCAACAGUUAAUUAGUAUAUGUAUGUAGGCUUAGUUUUUGAGCGCGUUUAUUAAUGUUAUAUAUUUAGUUAUAUUUGCGUCAUAGUCACUAUGUAAGCUGUUGUUGCAACACAAAAAUUAAUUAAAACUGUCGUAUUUAUUCAGCGAAACUAAUAAAAAUAAUAUAUUAAAUG
rnacentral:misc_RNA from 1 species